rnacentral:rRNA from 1 species
UCCGCCCUGUUGUCGUCUCCGCUUAGCGUAAGCGAUGGAACGAAGGAGGACUGCACGGAACCGGAGGGGCGAAGGGCAAGGGUGGCUGCUGUCCUCGCUCGUCUCCUGGCGCUACGUCGUCGGCGUCGACGUCCGCGGCGGGAGCACCCGCAGGCCCGGGCUGGGGCGGGCGGGACGAGGGUGGUGGAAGCUGCUCCGCAGGUACCUCGCCUCGUUCUCGAAACAGUUCCGCGAGGUCCUCGAGUUCUUGGACGCGGGUGUCGAAAUGAGGCGGCGCCUCAUGACGCUCUUCAGCAUGGAGGUGUCGCUCGUCUUCGUAUAACACGACCUGUUGAACUUCCUAAUACGACAAUCCCGAGACCAGUUGCGCCAGCUGGUGGAACCGUGGCAACGGAUGUUUAACUGUCUGGACAUACUUGUUGUCCAAAGUCUCCAGAGUUGACAGCUCGACUUUCAUCGUAGGAACUUGGUCGUUCAGGACUGAACGGUUUGAAUGUGGCUAUUUCUUCCGGAAUCCGUCGUCGUCUACUAGCCUUUGCGGUGUUCUGUGGUGUUUGUAAUGUAGCAUGGUUGACGCCCUUUGUUUUCUUGCGUCCGGAAAAGACUCUACGUUUGUCUGCGGCUCAAACUGAAUUUCGGAUUUGGAAUAGGGAGUCUCUUCUGAGAAAAGACCGUGAACCGAAGUCUCUUCUUGUGGUUUUGGUUACCUCUUGUGGUUAGACUUAAUCCGGUGCCCCUUUGCUUUUGAUGAUUCGGAUGUAGGUCACCACCCAAGUUGGAAUGUCCAUUCCUUAACAGGCACAGAGGGAACGGGUUCGCAGACGUCAGUUGACACUCGUCAAGCCUGUAACAAUGCGCAUUGUAACCGUACUUCCUAGUCGGACCACGUUCCGUAAACCGUAGUAAGUCAAGAGAGCUGUUGGGUUCUCCCGCAGUUUAGGUUUUCCGAGGGCAGGCGUGGUUUUCAUACGAUCGACGAAAGAAACAGUCCGUGUCCAGGCCUUUCUACUUUUUGCGGAGACAAGCAACUAGUUGACGUUUGGACGUCAAACGAGGACGGGCGGGGUGGUACUUCAUGUACGUUGUUUGAGUCAGGUGUAGAGAAUAUACUGAUAAACGUAGAACAUACAAUCGCCAGAUCUCUAUCUGGAAUAAAACUACGGGAAAAGUAGAUAUUUAACUACUUUUUUUAAUAUGUCUAUAUCAGUCAGAAUUUGGUAGCACAGAUCAGUGAUCCGUCUUCAAGGUCUUCAAAAGUCAUAUUUACUUACUCUACCUUACGUAUACCCAUACAGUUACCAUUCAAGGAAAGUAAAUAUAUAUCUAGUAUUUCGCACAGACAUUUCUUUUGUUAGCUUCUAAACAUAGAGGAACUUAGUUACAAGUGUCCAGAAAAACGCACCUUUUGAUACGGUGACCAAAAAGUCCGUAUGAG